UACGUAGGUGGCAAGCGUUGUCCGGAUUUAUUGGGUUUAAAGGGUGCGUAGGCUGUUCCUUAAGUCAGUGGUGAAAUACAGCCGCUUAACGGUUGAGGUGCCAUUGAUACUGGGGAGCUUGAGUACAGACGAGGUAGGCGGAAUUGACGGUGUAGCGGUGAAAUGCAUAGAUAUCGUCAAGAACACCGAUAGCGAAGGCAGCUUACUAGACUGUAACUGACGCUGAUGCACGAAAGUGUGGGGAUCAAACAGG
rnacentral:rRNA from 1 species